CCGGCUCCAAAGAGGGUAAGCAAGGAAAGGUAAAUAAGGCUCGAAGGGCUGACGAGGGAUUAAUGACAUUUAGUAGAAUGAUGGCCUUUCGUCAUCUCAACUUGAGAAUGUUAAGCACAAGUGUGUCAAAUAUAAUAUCUUUUGACUGAAUCGGCAUUGAUAGCUUUUUCUGUCAUUUUUCCAUCCAGAUCCGUAAGUUGCAAAGCCCCAUUUGAUAAUACUUGUCUGACUAUGUAUGGACCUUGCCAGUUUGGAGCAAACUUUCCUUUAGCCUCUUCUUGGUGUGGAAGGAUACA
rnacentral:lncRNA from 1 species